rnacentral:tRNA from 1 species
AUUUAAAUAGCUUAAGAAGAGCAUGAUAUUGAAGUUAUCAGGGUAAUAUGUAUUAUUUUUAAAUA